GUGGAGACCUGAAAUUACCACCAAGCUACUUAUCAGAUGCCUGGGUGUAGCACACUGAAUUAGGUGCUUAGUAGUGCAGAAUUAAGCAAAAGAAAAAGUCUCUGUUCUUGAGUCUUACAACCUCAUGUUCUGCUUCAUCUAUCUGACUAGGUGGAAAGCUGGCUAGUGUCCUACUUGGAGAAACUCAUCCUGCUCUUGAAAACAGCUUGGACUAUGGAAAUGAAGACAGAAACCCAGUGAUAUUUUCAAGACAACAGGGGCAGCCAAGGUUAAUGAGCAAAGGAGAACCCGGGCUAGAAGUCCCUCAGGAUACAUUAAUCUGCCUCCGAACCAGUUAAUGAGGAAGACAUUUCGAGAUGAAGACCUUUCGUUAGGAAGAACAAAACCAGAGUCUCUGCAGCAUUACACAUAAGCUGCAUUUACCUCAGGGCGACCGUCAUAAAAUGCACUUUAUUUCUGAUUACAUCACUAGGACAGCUGGGAUGAGAAAGCCAACUCACUGGAUGCUGUCAGAAACCAUCACUGCCUUCUCUUGAUAUAUAUUGGGUUGUGCUUCUCUUUUUCUUCCACUGACCAGAAAACUCAUCUUGUUCAGUUCCAUUUGAAUGUCAGGAACAACAACAAAAAACCCCGAAACCCUGGCUAAGACUGCGCGGCUCAAUUUUCAAAACUGGAAAAUGAAAAUCAAAGUCCCAAUUCUUCCUGAAUACUUGCCUAGAGACACACAAGAUGUUUGAAGUGCAGAUACAAUUUAAUAUGACCUUCUACAGAAGCCCAGACUGUUGGCAACAAGAAAAAGCCUUCGUUUGAAAUCGCUGGGGGAGGGAGGGAAAGGUGGUUAUCUUUCCCCUGGUCAAUCUACAUUCCCUCCAAGCA